GACGCCGCCACUCUCCGUCUGGGCGAGUACAAUGAGGUAGAGGGUUCGAUUCAAAAGACGAUAAAAACUACAAUAAGGAUUUUCUUUUAGUAAAUAUGUACCGGUUACACUUACACGUCAGACCACAUCACGUUUUCUUAUCAGUGCAUACACCAAUUAAUCGACUCGUACGUCCCGGACAAACUCGAAAUCCACCUUUGAUCAACCUAUGAUCGCAAAAACCUUUUAGUUCAACAAGAAAGAAAUGUACUAAAUGUUUGAGUGUAACGUAAGAGGACAACGAAAUGAGAAGGUAGAGUAUAACGAAGUAAGAUAUACUAAACUCAAUAGAUUUUCUCAAAAACAAGGACGAUAGAUGUCUCUAUGUAAGAAAAUUGACUUUUUACAACAUAGACCGCCGGUGGUGAGGAACCUUGAAAAGAAGGUAGACGAACAUGCGUCUGGUACCACGAAGUGAAACAAGAAUAGAAAAAAAAAACACGUCGGUCAGUCACGAAGAAGAACUAGAGGACUGGUGGUCGCGGCGAAGAAGGCCCGGAAGACGAGUACCGCGAGCUCGACAGACAUGUAAAAAAGGAGUCAAGAUUUAAGGGUCUCGCGGUCAGGUUGAUGUAUAGUCGUAGGAGGGUUAGGCGAGCUAGAGCAGGACGAGACCUCGUACGAAGUCAAGUUGUUUUUCGAGGCCUUUUCAAGUUUCGACACCUAACGCGGGUCGUGCAGCAAGACGUCACUCGGUCCUAUCUCCAACAACCUGUGACAGCACGUGUGGCACUCGUUGACACCGGUAACCGGUGGGGAAGUCGGUCAACAGAAAGGAACCAAACCAGAACUUAACUUGGCAACUUUUCAACCAAUACUUGGACACUGGAAGACAAACUUAACUUGCCAACUUGACUACUUGAUGAUGGAUACUAGAACUUGACAACCUUAACUUUACAACUUAAACCAGUACUGAAAUGGCCCCUGUUUCGUAUCAAAUCAAAGAUUUAAAAUGUUUCUAGUAUGCGUUUUUAUAAACUAUAUGUCUAUGUUUUCUUGAGAUAUUUUCUAGUACC
rnacentral:rRNA from 1 species